CCUACGGGAGGCAGCAGUAGGGAAUCUUCGGCAAUGGACGGAAGUCUGACCGAGCAACGCCGCGUGAGUGAAGAAGGUUUUCGGAUCGUAAAGCUCUGUUGUAAGAGAAGAACGAGUGUGAGAGUGGAAAGUUCACACUGUGACGGUAUCUUACCAGAAAGGGACGGCUAACUACGUGCCAGCAGCCGCGGUAAUACGUAGGUGGCAAGCGUUGUCCGGAAUUAUUGGGCGUAAAGCGCGCGCAGGUGGUUUAAUAAGUCUGAUGUGAAAGCCCACGGCUCAACCGUGGAGGGUCAUUGGAAACUGUUAAACUUGAGUGCAGGAGAGAAAAGUGGAAUUCCUAGUGUAGCGGUGAAAUGCGUAGAGAUUAGGAGGAACACCAGUGGCGAAGGCGGCUUUUUGGCCUGUAACUGACACUGAGGCGCGAAAGCGUGGGGAGCAAACAGGAUUAGAUACCCUGGUAGUCCACGCCGUAAACGAUGAGUGCUAAGUGUUGGUCUCAUAAGAGAUCAGUGCUGCAGCUAACGCAUUAAGCACUCCGCCUGGGGAGUACGACCGCAAGGUUGAAACUCAAAGG
rnacentral:rRNA from 1 species